rnacentral:lncRNA from 1 species
GGCAAGGGAAUAAGCGGCCACCGAGGACCCUGAGGUCUCACCAGAGCUGCCGUCGCCACUCGCCCCUUGAGUCGGCUCGGUGCGCGCUGGCGGCAGCCGGAGUAGCCCUAGAGGCGGCGGCAGUUCCCGCCCGGGUAGAGGCGCCACGGCGCACGCCAGCCCCGGGAAAAGCCCGCGCCGCCUCUGCGCCCAGCUGUGCCCUGGCCCUCGCGCCGCCCCCGAUCCCGCGGCGGCCGGUGCGCGUCUAGUCGGUGACCCCGGCGUAGGCCUGGUGCCAGGAGGGCGCGCGGGAGGCCGCGUGGGUGCAGGUCCGCGCGAGCAGACGCCCGGGGGACCGGCCUCGCCCCCCACCAGCCUUGACCCUCCGCCCCGCCGCCCGCGCCCGGCCCGGCUCUUACCGCGGGGUCAGCCGGGAGGCGGCGGCCGCAGCGCUCGGGCUGCCGCUUGUCCGCUCUGGGAUCGGCGCCAGCCCGGCCGCCGGUGCACACUCGCGCCGGUCCCGGCCCGGCAGUCCGAUCGGCGGUGACCGCUGGUGCGCGGCGGGCGAGGGUCCCGGCAGGUCCCGCCGCCGCGACUGGGGCGCUGCGCCGCCGUCGCUGCAGACGGUUAUGGUAAUGAGCGGCUCUGUCUAGCGAGGAGCGUGUGAAACCCGUCAAUCCUGUUUGCCAUUUCCCCGUGGAUUUCCGAGGAGAGGUUCUGCAGGAUGCCCCCAGGGGUCACCUCCAUCGUCGAGAUGGGUCAUUUCAGGUGUAAUGAACGCGCUGGCUUGGAAGGCAUAGACCUAAUAAAAUCGAGAGAAG